UGGUAAGUCAGUUAAAAACCAUGUUUUAUUAGUCAUAAGUGAAUUCAUUUCACUAUUAAUAGCUUCUUUCCAAAACAUAGAAUCUAAUGAGUUCAUAGCAUCUUUAUAAGUUUUAGGAUCAUCUUCAACCAUAAAAGUAUAGAAAUCAGAUCCAAAAUCUUUCUUUUUCCUAAUUCUUUUCCCUUUACCAAGUUCAUUAAUAUUAUUAAGUUCAUUUUCAUUUUCAUUAUUAGGAAUAAUUAGAGAAUUAGAUGGCGAACUACAAGAUGCAUCAUUAGAUCUAUCUAUUACAUGCUUUUCUAUUUUAUCCUUAAAUGGAAAAAUGUCUUCAAAAAAAGAAGCAUCUUUAGAUUCAAUUAUAGUAUUCUUAUCUAUGCCAUUAAUAUCAGAACUAAUGACUAAGAACCUAUAAGUAACACUAUUAAGAGAAUAACCAAGAAACACAGCAUCAAAAGUAUUAGGUCCUAAUUUUCUUUUCUUGAUUAAAGGAAUAUUAACCUUAGC
rnacentral:lncRNA from 1 species